rnacentral:rRNA from 1 species
GAACCGUACGAACGUUAUUCGGAAUCACUGGGCUUAAAGGGUGCGUAGGCGGCUCGGCAAGUUGGGUGUGAAAUCCCUCGGCUCAACCGAGGAACUGCGCUCAAAACUGCCGAGCUAGAGGGAGACAGAGGUGAGCGGAACUUAGGGUGGAGCGGUGAAAUGCGUUGAUAUCCUAAGGAACACCAGUAGCGAAAGCGGCUCACUGGGUCUCUUCUGACGCUGAGGCACGAAAGCUGGGGGAGCGAACGGGGGAUUAGAUACCCCGGUAGUCCUAGCUGUAAACGAUGAGCACUGGGUCGGAGGAUCCUCCAUAGUUUUCCCGGCCGUAGCGAAAGUGUUAAGUGCUCCGCCUGGGGAGUAUGGUCGCAAGGCUG